ACACUCUAGUAAGAAGGAAAAAAAUAUUUUUACUAAAGAUGUCAUGUAAACUCACACGAUGAUCAUGAAUAGAUAAACACCUUGAUAAUCAGCCAUUGUGUGGCAUACCUAAUGCUACCAAAUUGUGAUGUAGAGUCUGAACUUCAGCUUUUAAAAGUAUUUGUAUUUCCAGUUCUCAUUUUCAAAGAAAAUGUUCAAAAUGUGGACUGAGGCACAGAACAAAAUAUUUUUAGCAAAACAGAGUUAACUCAUAUUUAAAGAGCCAAGACACUAUUUUAAUUUGAUAGGAAAAAAACUAGUUAAUAUAGUCAUCCAAUAAGAAAACUGAACAGUCUUCCACAUUCCUCCAGAUGCUCAAGUCAAAGAUUUUAUACCUAGCUGCAAAAUUAUUUUCUAUUCCUUCCAAUGUACUGGUAGUUAUGCAUUUAAAAAACGUGGCAGCAGCCAAGAAUAACACAAUCAGUGGGCUACUACCCAGACUAUUUACUUUUUUCAAUUCUUAAAAUCAUUACCUUUUAAAUUUAAGAUACCUAAAGUUUUCCAGAAGUUGGCUAAAGAAUUAAUGAAAUUCACAAAAGUCAUUAGGGUCCAAAUUACUGAAGAAUAUGAAUAAACCUGUUAUUACAAAGCAUUAUUCAAUACAUAAAGUAGAGCAUGAAAAUGACAAACCAGGGAAUCCAGUUCAUACUUCCUUCAAAAUAAUAAAUGCUAUAAAAGUAUUUUAGAAGUUAAAAUAUGCAGCUCAGUAUGUUUUAGUUUAAUGGCACUUCAUAUUCACAAAGAUUCAUUAGUUGACUUAUUUCAAGAAAAUAUAUUCCUUAAAACACAAUUCCUUAACAGUCUCAGUAAUUUGCAUUGGCCAAUUAUGAAUGUCUGAGUUGCAAAUUGGCAAUUAAAGAUAGAAACUUAUUUUGUGAAGAAGUAGGACAAGUGGAGUGUAAUCUGAUAGUUUUCACAAUAUAACAAAAGCUUCUGUAGUGUAAUUUGUAACAAAUUCCUUGCAAGAGACUUCUCAGCAGUCAAAAGGAGAAAGAAAGCAUUUGCAUGUAUAUAACCAUUUCCUUCUCGGAGAAUGUGCAAAGAAUUAAGCUUUAAUCAGCACUCCACAAAUCUUUCAAUUGCUUUACACCCGGCUACAGGACAGAAGCUGCAGACUCCUCAGAUUGGAUCAGCUCCAAAGUGGAGCUCGAUCCUCCCCCCACCCCUCUAACCCAACAGGUAAAUGUCCGCUGGGUCGGGGGGUGGGGGGUGGAGAAGGGGGAGGUGGUGCUCUAACAUAUGGUGCUUUAUGUGACGUGCCGUAAGCUAGAGCAGGGACCUGCAUAUCUGUCAGCACCCAAAGUUAAGUGUCCAGAUGUGUGAACCAAAGAGAGCACACAACUACAGCAAGUUUAAAGCAUUUAAGAACUUGUCCAAACGCAGAACAUGAACAGUUUUAACUAUGGGCAGUACAUGUUGCACAGGGUUAAUGAAAGCAGUGCAACUACCUGGAGAUCAAGUGGCAAGUUGAGCAGUAUUUGUUGAAUCCAACUAAAAGUCUCAUUCUAAUGCAUUCAUCUUGUUAUAGAAAGUGAUGAAGUCCUCUGUUCAUCUUCUCUCCUGCUCUUAAGCUGUCAGCGUAAAACAGCCUCCAACGAGCACAUUCGUGCCUAGACAUGACCCUUCUUAAAAGCCUAAACAACUCCGGGGGACCAGGGAACCGAACCGAACCUGUGGAGCCUAAACAACUCCGUGGGAAAGAAUUGCCAAACCUGCGGAGCCUAACAACUCCGUGGAAAAGAAUUUGUCGUAGUCCUCCAGCGAGGAUUUAAGCGGAGCUGCACCUGGAAAACUGUCCAGCCUACAUCACUACCAUCUUUGGGUAUACUUCGGCUGGUUAUUAACUUGUCUAAGAUUCUGCCUGUUCCUGUUUCCAUCCACGUCUUCAACAGCUUUUUGUUAGGAUUUUUUAAGUCGUGGGUCCUUGGAAAAGUCUUUCAGGAAGCCACGCUGCAGAAAGUGACCGUUCUCUCCCACAGGAACUGUAGUCUCUUGCCCCAUAAAUAUGUUGCUUUGUUCCACAUUCAUGGAUGAACCCUUCCAGCGCAUCAUAUUCCCUAGGUACUUCAAUUCCCUCUCAACUCAGUUUCUUGAAUUUUAAUAACUAUUUCUGUAUUUUGUGAACCCUCUAUGCUGAAUUCAAUUAACUUUUUGCCACUGGGAUAAAGUUUCUCAUUACCAUAUGUUCCAGUCACUUCCUACAGGUACCUUUUCAGUUUUAUACAUACAUUCACUCAGGAGCACUUUGAAGAAGUUAUCACACCCCACUACUGAUUUAUUUUUCUCCACUUUUACCAACAGGGAGACUCCAGCAUUGCUAAGCUCUCUGGUAGAGAUCAAACCCACCUACUUUCAUAUCACAGUUACAAGUAUUUACUUUAAUAUUCCAAAUGCAACCACAACUCAACAUCUGUGUCUUAGUAGUCCGAGCUUCUCUUGCUUGUUCACCAUAAUCCUCACAUUCCUGCAGACGCAUGUUCACAUUCUUUUAAACACUAGGCAGGAAAAUGAAGGAGGCUUUUGUUUAUAGAAAAACAUCUUUUAUGCAUCUGAGGUGUAACUCAAAGCAGCCUCCUAAUUGUAUUCAUUCUAAUGCUACCAAACUGGUUUUGGCAGUCGUCUCUGAUCUUGAAUCCAGCAUAAAUACACAUUACAGUGUGACAAAAAAAACCACAGUUAUUAUGGAGUAUAUAAUCAAAAAUACGAAGCUAUUACAGUUCAUACAGCAAGUGACAUACAAAGUCAUUAACAGGGAUCCUGUUUUUCUGUUUAAAAAAUGCAAAUUCUCUGAUAAAAAUCCAAAAAUCUGCAAAGUGAAAUCUCUCCCUCUUCCCUAUCAAUUGAAUACAAUGUUUUACUGAUGUAUUUACAAUUCUAAAGCAAUUUGGAAAAUUACCAGUGCCUCAAACACUAUAAUAAAACAAAUUCUAAAUACCUAUAAAUUCUGGUAUUUGAUUUUGAGGCUUUUAUCAUAGAAAAAAAAAUUGGAGCUCCCCCCACCCCCUUCACUCACCAGGAUGCAGGUCCAGGCCCCUCACUCCCAAGCUACAGCCCCCCAGCCCUUUCAGUGCCCCUCACUCCCUCCCCCCUGCCAGAGGGAGCUCCCAGCUGCCAGGGCUAUGGAGCCAGAGACCCAGGUUCACAGCCCUCUGCCCCCACCACCCCUUCCACCAGUGCAUGAGUCCUGGCUGCCACCUGUGGGAGGUGGUAGUUACUGCGGUAGAGCCCAGAGUGCAGAGCCCAGCUUCCCCUUACUUGCGGCUGGCAUGGCUAGAACAGAGCCCGUGGGGGUGGGGGGGAGGGAGGAGGCUGUGUAAGAUGCCCACUGCAGGCUCAGGCUCUCCACCCUGCUGCCCUCCCCUGGGAGCUUCCACAAAACAGCGGGUGGGCCCAGUGAAGCAGAGCAGAGAGGAGCUAGGCAGGGAAGCUCAGUGCCACUGCUGGGAGCUCUGCACCACCCUGGCGAGGUAUUCCUUACCCACCCACCCACCCGCAGCAGCCGCCUAGCUCACUUUCUCCAUCCCUCCCUCCCCAUAGAGUCCUCAAUUCCUCCCUGCCCACUGCCAGACUUACCUGCGGGGAGCUGUUCUCCAGGCUGCAAGGUGGCCAUGAGCAUGUGUGAGCAUGCAUAUGGUGCCCCCUGCCUGAUUGCCCUUCUCCUACUCCCCACACCCCUGCAGGCCAGAAAUCUGCCAGCCUGCAGGGAGCUCUUUGCAAGAGUGGAAGAUAACAUGUUUCUCUAUCAAAAUGAAAAAAUCCACAUUUUUCUUGGUCAAAAGGGGAAAAGUCGCAAGGUUUUUUUUCCAUGGGAAACUGAAAAUCUGGAUCCCUGUUCAUUAAACAGGUUAUUUAACGUGCUAUUGUCAAACCAGAAACAGCAUAGGCACUGGUACGCAGUUCUUAAAUUACUGUAAAUUUCCCUGAAUUCUGUCAAGGAAGGGUCACUUAUAAGAUGACAUUAAGGCAAUCUCUAUUAUCAUUAAUACAUAUUCUUGAGAGCCAAAUUAGUGUAAACUGUGAUGUAUUAUUUGAUGUAGAAAAAUUCCCCAUUAAGAAAUGGGCAGUUUCUGGUUUGUUUGGAACAAAAUGGCAAAGCCAUAAUACAGCAAGACCAAUAGUAGCUUUGGACUUGGACCAAACCUAAGCUAGCAAUUAAAAAGGUAAGGCAUAUUAAGAAUAUGGCUCCACUUCUGACAAGGUUUAGAUGAGACCACUGUAGUUAAGACUUAUAAUAAUGCUAAGAAUCCAUAAACUGCCACUAUGAACGUUAUGUCUCAAAAACAGUAAAUACUGUGAAGUACCAUUAUCUGGAUAUCAGCUCAUUUACUUGUAAAAUAAGAAUUACACACAGAAAUCUACUUAUUCUUGAAAUAAAGAGCUAGUCAUAAAAAAAUACGUUUUUUUAUUUUAUUAUUAUUUGCAGUUGCACAUCUUCUAGACCACUAUGUUUUUAGCUGCCAACCCUGUAAACUCAACCUGGAACCGUAGCUAAGUUCUUUUCAAUUCCUAUAGCAUCAAAAAAAUAGAAAUUUUGCAGUAAAGAACCCUGUUGUGUCAUAAAUCAGACUCAAAUUUAUCAUCUUGCUCUUCUAUAGCCGUAUUAGGUCUGCAACACUAGCAGCUAGAAAGCAAGCAGUGCAAUCCUUUUUGUCACUAAAGUCAGCAAGUUCAACUUAAUACACAAACAUGUUUAAUGAGUAGACAACAUUUUUUUAUGCUCAAGAACAAUAAUUAAUCCACAACAGAUUUCUCAUUGCAAGAUCUACCCAGCCUUCCUUCUUAAACCUCCCUCUAGAAUGUCCACAGCUCUGGCUAGUUACCUUAGGUAUACCAUGAGUGGUACUUUG